GUAACCUGCUUUGCUCGAGUUGCAGCUACUUUUUCUGGGAAGCCUGGAAAGCCAGUAUCUAAGGCUCUUGAAUCUGCGCAGGCCUAAGUGGCUUAUCUGCUGAGACUCCAUGUAGCUCUGUGUGUUAAACUGAAGGCCUUGGUGAAGUGGGUUCAUGAGGGUAUCUCCUCACCUGAAGGUUGCAGAGAUCUGUGGGAGAAUCAUGGGUUUCUAGGGUCACACAUGCACUCACUGCUUUACUGGGUGGGGAGGUUCCCUUGGCUCCAUGUUGUUCCCAGGUGGCCCAUUGUCCUGCCUUGCUUUACUCCAUUCUCCAUAGAUUGUUUCUUUGAUUAUUCCCAAUGCAAGUACCUGGAUGUUUCAGUUGCAGGUGCUGUAUUUAUGUAUACCUUGCAUUCCUGUCUAUGAGAACUGCACAGUCUAGCUGCUUCUAGUCAGCAAUCUCGAUCACUUUUCUCUAAAGGGAACCUACUUUUUUAUAUUAAAAGGAUUCAAUAUUUUUCAAAAGCAAAUUUCAAUAUAAUUUAACUCUUACAUUUGAUGCUGUGUCUUCAUUUCUAGAAUUUAUGUGAAAGAACAUGGUCAGUGGUUGCACCAGAGUUGUGAGAGGUUCUUCUAUAUUAGAUGGACAGAUUUAUAUACUUUUCCAUGGAGGAUUAAGUAAACUGAAACCUAAGACACACGAAGAAAUUCUAAGUGGAAAGGCCACUUAUUAGUUUACAGCAGUAUCGUAAGUGACAGGAUGAUAGGAGUGUGGUAAGUGAUCAGGAUAAUAAUCUGCUUAGUAAGAGAAACAAUUUGAAUUUUAGAAGGAAAUUGCCUUACCAUUUGCAAAUUAAGGUAAUUAAAAUACAGUGAAUUUCAAAAUGCCUUUUUAAUGACAAUGUGUGAACUUAAUUUGUUUUAAUAAACCAAAAUUAUUGUUAUUGUGUUAAGGCUAUUUUACAUUGAAUGUGUAUCUUGCCACUGAUGUUAACUUAUCCCAUCUUACCCAAGGUUGUAGGUAACAAUAUACUAUUGGGUGACAGUGGACUAACAUCUCUAGUGAUCCCUUUGUCAGUGGUCUUUAACUUAAAAUAAUUUAGAGAAUAUGGUUUCUACAACUUACAUUUUUGUUUACUUGUAACUACAGAUUAUUAUGAUGGUUGUAAUGAAGAUUAUGAGUAUAAUUGGAGCUAUAUGUUUCUGAAUUCUGAACAACUAUUUAUAAAAUUUUAUCCUACUUUUUUCUGUUGAACAUAUGACUUCUCUGGUCUGCUAAACACAUACAGACCUUUAGUUUUGGUUUACAUGGAUUUAAAUAUAUAGAUAUAUCACUGUAAAAUAAACUUCAGGUGUAACAGAUUUAUAGAGAAAGUAAUCAUAUUUGUUUAUGGUUGUGUACCUACUUUGAGAAGAAAAGAAAAAUAUUAGAAUGAACAGAUAAUUUUACAAGUGUUGAUCACUUACCAGCAAACCAGAAACUUCAGAGAUUUUGAAAGCAAAUCUAUUUUCUCUGCUGUGUAUUAAAUUCAUUUAUCUAAAAUGUUAUUGCUCCUGGCUUAGAAUCAUCUUGUGCAAAUUCUUUUUUUGUUGUUUGUCUGUUUGCCUGUUGCUCACCAUAGACAUAAUUUUCUUUUCAUAAAACAUUCUUUGUAUAAUCACCUCAGAGAUUAUGAAAGUGACUUUGAUAAAAUUUAAUGGUGUUCACAAAAUAAUUUUCACGUGAGUAAUUUCACAGUGCGUGUAUUGUAUGUUAUUUAGUGUAUUUUAUAUUUUGUUUCAAUUAGAGAAUGCUAUUGAAUCCAGUUUUUGUUUAGUUACUGUUCAUUUUACUUUAUAAAAUUGACAUAAUUGAGUUUAUUAAAUUUAUUGGGCCAAUUUAAGUAAACAGUUGAACGUUUCAUAAGUCAUGAGGUCUUUUUGGCAUAUACAUGAAGUAAACAAAGACAAUACUAGCUAUGUAAUAGAAGCUACAUAAUUAGAAGUAAAUAUUCUUUUUGAAAUUGGCCUGUGGUCUCAGGUGAAAAAUGGAAAAUAUCUAUAGUAAAAAAAAUGACAUUAAUUCUGCAUAUGAAGAGAGCAUAAUUGUACCCAUGCCACACAAUUGACUCACAAUUGAAACAAGAUGAAGAGAUGGACAUUUUAGCAAAACUAAGUGAAAACCUUGUAAAAUUUUCAGAUUAUGUUUCUACAUUUAAACAUCUACUGGGGGAGGCAGAGGCCAAUUCUAUGCAGUCAAACCUGGAAUUGCUGACACAGGUUAAGAGUAUGCACCACAGGUAUCGAAACCUAAAAUGCCCUGAACUCUUUUCAUAUAGAUUAAUAAAAUAUGGUUUUAGUCUUCCUUCUCUAUAUUCUGGCUUAGACAGAACUAUCAAGCCAUUUCAAGUAGAUUUAAUUCUAGAUCUUUUUUUUUUUUUCUUUUUUUGAGAUGGACUCUUGCUCUGUCACCCAAGCUGGUGUGCAGUGGUGUGAUCUUGGCUCGCUGCAGCCUCCACCUCCCAGGUUCAAGCAAUUCUCCUGCCUCACCCUCCCAAAUAGCUGAGACUACAGGCACCUGCCACCAGGCCCAGCUAAUUUUUUGUAUUUUUAGUAGGGAUGGGGUUUCACCAUGUUAGCUAGGAUGGUCUUGAUCUCCUGACCUCAUGAUCCACCCACCUCAGCCUUCCAAAGUGCUGGGAAUGCACAUGUGAGCCACCGCGCCUGUCCUUGAUUUUAGAUCUUGACACAGCACAUCCUCAACUUAUUGUCUCCGAGGAUAGAAAAGCUGUGUGAUGGAAGAACAAAACCAAACAUAUGUUAUAACCCAAGGAGAUUUUAUUUCUGCCCUGCUUUCCUGGGCUCUCAGAAGUGUAGUUCUGACAGACAUUACUGGAAGGUAGAGGUGGGAAACAAGCCUAAAUGAAAAUUAGGUGUGUGUCAAGAUUGUCUUCUUAGGACCUGGCAGGAUCAGCCUUCAGUUCUGGGUUGAUUUGGGGGCAAUUGGAUGAUAUAUAGAGUGGUUAUGCUGCAUCAGGUCCUAAGAAAACCCACCUUCUGCCAGUAGUAAAAUCCAGUAAGAUUGGUAUUCUUUUGGACUAUGAAUUGGGUGAUUUUUUAAAGUAAUAUAAAUAAUAGGUUUGUUCUGUAUAUUUUAAUGAUCUUUCACAAGAGCUGUUUGGCCUUAUUUCUAUGCUGAAGCAGAUUCUGAACGUCUUAAAAUCUGUUCAUUAUCAGAUGCUGAAAGAUAAAGAGCAAGUAAAUGAAUCUAUUUCAGUUUUUGUGGGUAAUUUAGCCAGUAAAUUUAAUCUUAUUUCUUUAAUCUUUAAGUUUUACUACUGAAGGCCAGAAUAGAUUUUUUUCUCUUAAAUUUUUGGCAAGUAUAAAAGCACAUUCAGAAUGUCACUUUCAUAGAUACUAUGAAUAUCAAUUGUCAAGUGUGUUGAUUUCUAAGAUAAAAUAUUUGAGAAUUAAUAUUACCCAACUUGUCCAAUAAAAUGUUUUUAAGUUGCCUAUUUUUAAAAAAAUCUAUCAAUUUUGAAUUGCAUACCUAGCUAAAUUUUUUUAAGAUUGAGGAUAAUAUGUAAAAUAAUUUAUACAAGUAAUAUAAACUAAGUUUACUUAAAUUAUUUACUUAUUUAAGAAAUCUAAUUACAUUUUAAAUAAAUUGCUGUUACCUGUU
rnacentral:lncRNA from 10 species